rnacentral:rRNA from 1 species
UACGUAGGGGGCUAGCGUUGUCCGGAUUUAUUGGGCGUAAAGAGCGUGUAGGCGGCCAGAUAGGUCUGCUGUGAAAACUCGAGGCUCAACCUCGAGAUGUCGGCGGAAACCAUUUGGCUAGAGUCCGGAAGAGGAAAGUGGAAUUCCUGGUGUAGCGGUGAAAUGCGCAGAUAUCAGGAGGAACACCGGUGGCGAAGGCGGUUCUCUGGGCCUUACCUGACGCUGAGGAGCGAAAGCGUGGGGAGCGAACAGG